rnacentral:rRNA from 1 species
UACGUAGGGUGCAAGCGUUGUCCGGAAUUAUUGGGCGUAAAGAGCUCGUAGGCGGUCUGUCGCGUCUGCUGUGAAAACUCAGGGCUUAACCCUGAGCUUGCAGUGGGUACGGGCAGACUAGAGUGAGGUAGGGGAGACUGGAAUUCCUGGUGUAGCGGUGAAAUGCGCAGAUAUCAGGAGGAACACCGGUGGCGAAGGCGGGUCUCUGGGCCGUAACUGGAC